AUUGAACGCUGGCGGCAGGCCUAACACAUGCAAGUCGAGCGAGCGGCGGACGGGUGAGUAAUGUAUGGGGAUCUGCCCGAUCGAGGGGGAUAACUACUGGAAACGGUGGCUAAUACCGCAUACUAUAGGAUGAACCCAUACGGGAUUAGCUAGUAGGUGGGGUAAAGGCUCACCAAGGCGACGCUCUCUAGCUGGUCUGAGAGGAUGAUCGGCCACACUGGGACUGAGACACGGCCCAGACUCCUACGGGAGGCAGCAGUGGGGAAUAUUGCACAAUGGGCGAAAGCCUGAUGCAGCAAUGCCGCGUGAGUGAAGAAGGUCUUCGGGUCGUAAAGCUCUGUCAGUGGGGAGGCGGUAUCCGAAGAGGAAGCACCGGCUAACUCCGUGCCAGCAGCCGCGGUAAUAC
rnacentral:rRNA from 1 species